GAAGGCUGGAUGGCCGCGGUCUUGGCAACAAGGUCGAGGAAAGUCCGGACUCCCAGAAGAAACGGUGCCGGGUAACGCCCGGGCGGGGCAACCCGACGGAAAGCGCCACAGAAAACAAACCGCCGACCUUUGGGUCGGACAGGGUGAAAAGGUGGGGUAAGAGCCCACCGCGCGCCGGGCAACCGGGGCGGCACGGCAAGCCCCACCGGGAGCAAUGCCAAAUAGGGAUCGCGUGCCGGUGUGUCUUCGGGCGACCGGCGGGGCUGCUUUUGCCCCAGCAGGUUCGGGUUGGCAGCUAGAGCGCCUCUGGCAACAGGGGCGCAAGAGGAAUGGUCAUCUCGGGCGGGGUAACCCGUCUAUGACAGAAUCCGGCUUAUAGCUUCU
rnacentral:RNase_P_RNA from 13 species